AGAUGAACGCCCUUUGAAGAAUUUUGAAAGCUGUAAAGCACUACAGAAAUAGAGGGUGUGACUCUGACUCCCUGCUGGGUGGAUGAGUGUGGGUCCAGAAGCCACAAGAAGCCUGAAACAUUUGAAGGAUGGGGGCCCUAGGCAGGACACAAAAAGACUGGGAUUACAGAGCUGAAGAAGCAGAUGACCCAGGUCCUAAACCCACAGUGGACAGCCUGACCCCACAGUCGUGGGUUUGGACUCUGUCUUAUAUUCCAGAGGAUAGCAAGCUGGCUCCUGCAGACCAACUGACCUCCUUUUCACAUGACUCUUCUCAGCUGCAGCUGCUGGGUGAGUCCCAAUCCAAGGCGGUUUCGCAGCCAAGCCUUGCGUGAAGUACAUCAUGCGGGUGUCUGUCCAGUCCCGGGAGAACAUGAGGUUGGUGCUGCGGCCAAGAC